rnacentral:rRNA from 1 species
UACGUAGGGGGCAAGCGUUGUUCGGAAUUACUGGGCGUAAAGGGCGCGUAGGCGGCACGACAAGUCGGGAGUGAAAGCCCGGGGCUCAACCCCGGAAUGUCUCUCGAAACUGUCGAGCUAGAGUGCGGAAGAGGCAACUGGAAUUCCCAGUGUAGCGGUGAAAUGCGUAGAUAUUGGGAAGAACACCUGAGGCGAAGGCGGGUUGCUGGGCCGACACUGACGCUGAGGCGCGAAAGCUAGGGGAGCAAACGGG